AUCCUCCUAAUGCUUACCACAGACGGCUCACCAUAGACUGCUGGCUGUAUAGAAACGGGAGGCAUAUCAACCUCUCCUGACACUUCUGCUCACCAGCUAUUGUCUGGUGAGGCAACACUGUUGGGUGAGACAUCU
ensembl:snoRNA small nucleolar RNA, H/ACA box 51